AGCCUUCUGUAUCUGUGCUGCGAUUUCGCCACACGCCAGACCACAAGGACUGAUGAGACUCGCAAGAUAAGUGAAGCG
rfam:Schistosoma mansoni, Puerto Rico, WGS project CABG01000000 data, contig: 0173